AUAUAUACUAUACUAAAAGUAGAAUAAGGUGAAUGGUGAGAGUGUCCACGUCAUUUAAAAUAAUCACCCUAUCGGAAGGCUCUGUUUCGCCAUGUCACCACCAUUGAGAUAAAGUGGGCUUUCGUGCUGGAUCUAUUAAAAUUAUCUGUUGGCCCACCCAGCAUAUUUAGACAAACCUGUGUCUUCUUCUCCAAGCUCGGCGAGUCUGCCAAGGUUAAGUGACGAACCCGUCGGUUACCCUUUUUCCUUCUUCCUCCGUCAAUUUUCAACUCUCGAUAAACUUUAAUAUCUUCAGCCUUCAUAAACUCAUCCAUCCACCGUUACAUCUCCCCCUCUUAAUUGGUUUAGCUGUCCACCGUUAAAUCUCCACGAUACGAACCCAUCAACUCCUACUAUAUAUAUGAUUCAGCAGAUCAGUUGCUCGAAGCUGGGCAUACCCUAUACUGCUAGAAUUCAGGAAAGAAGAAGGUUUCUCCAUUGCAUGCUCCUGCCUCAGUUGACUGGAUCCAGAUUUCAAGACUGAAAUUUUUUCCAAGCAUUCUUGGGCCACGUAAAACCCUUCAGAAAGAAUUGAGCUAGCAACACACUGCAGGGUGUUUGUUAGAGAGUGAGGAUCUCUGAUGAAUAUUGUCAAGCGGUUGCUCAGAUGGGAGUUACAUGUGGUCGUCAUUCGUUAUCCCUUCUUUCACAUUCAGUGGUUUCCAACGAACAGAAUCACAAAACGUCUCUUCCCUCUGGGAAGAUCCUUGCAUCUGAUCCUCUCGAGUAGCCAUUUUCAUCCCUCACCUCCCUUCCAUCAUCCUAGCACAAAAGAAACCAAGAAGAAAAACAACAUCAAUGUCACACAUAUAUAGAGGGAGAAAAAAAUAUGAGUUACUCAGUCAUUGUAGAUCAUCUUUUUUUACCGGCGAGCACGAAGAUGGGAAUCUCACAUUUGGUAAUUCAACUGCUGUGGAAACAUUUUUAUUUCAUUAAUCAAUCGUACUUGAACAUAUUAAUUUAAGAAAUUUUGGUUUAUUGGUUAUGUUUCUCUUAAUUUUGUGACUGGGAAAAUGUCUACUUAGGUUAUUUUCACUUUUCAGAUUAUUCAUUAUUUUGUAUUAUGUUGUUGAAUAAUGUCAUAUUAUAAUGAUAAAUCUUUUGUA